CCUGGUUCGUACUUGGAUGGGAGACCAAGUUGGAGGACCAGG
rnacentral:rRNA from 12 species